GGACUUGACAUCAAGUAAAGGGAGGUUUCCAGGCUCCGCUGAUCAAAGCCCAGCUCCAGUGCUUGAGAUAACUUAGGUAAAACUGCCCUCAGAUAACCAUCUCUUCGGUUUUAACCUCUCUGUAAUGAAAGCGUGUGCUGCCUGAAAUUUUUCAACUCCUGAAUUCAUCUCUGGAGGAUUUGUGAUUCUCAUGUUGCAGGAAAAGUCGGGCAAAUUUGAUGAGUCAUUCUUUCUCUUAACUACUGAACAUUUGUGAGUCCAGCUUCAUACUUUCUAGCCUCGUGAUGUCGUUGGUAAGUGACAUUCAAGAAAUGAAAUAAGAGCUCCAGUCAAUGCUUGUUCAAGAAGAGCACAGGAGUUGCUCCACCAUGGAUCAACCAUGGAAAAAAAUGGACCCCAAGGGUAAUAAUACAGAAAUACUAGUGUUAAAGAGACAGAGAAAGGGUACUUGUGAGAAGAAUACGACACAGCCCACCUUCGAAGGCUUGAAGGUUCCUUAUGUUAAUCUCCACUUGAGGUGUCUUACCAAGCCAAGCUAAGAGUGCUACUCAGCCCGGAUGAAUGAAGAAUAAUGCAUUUGGAAAAGAAUAACACCAAGGAGCCAAUAAGGAAGAUAACUUCAGACAGCUGUGGUGACAAAAACUGCAAAGGAGAGGUGCCAGUGAAUAACAAAUGCAGCGAAAUGGCAGGGGACCGGGCUCCACACAAGGUUAUGCAGCCCCUUGGGGAUUAUUCACAGACUUGGAGUGAAGAUCCCAUAAACAUUGGGAAUGCUCAGAACAGAACCACUCCCAGAGUCAGUGUCUCCAUUUCACACCACACGUGGGCCGCAUCCGCUGCUGUGAGGAUAGCACUGGCUCAGCACCAAAGUCCUUUGCCUACAUUUUUUAAAAAAGUAAAGUCAUUUGAAAAACUUCUGGUUACCAAAGGGGACGGGGUGAGGCAGGAAGGUGGGAGGGAUGGACUGGAGGUUAGGGAUUGGCACAUGCACACUGACGUAUAUGGAAUGACUGGCCAAUGGGGACCUGCUGCAUAGCACAGAGAACUUUACUCAGUAUUCUGUGAUGAUCGAUGUGGGGAAAGAAUCUGAAAGAGAGUGAAGGUGUGUACGCAUGUGUAACGGAGUCGCUUUGUUGUACAGCAGAAAUUAUCACAACAUUGUAAGUCAACUAUACUUCAAUAAAACUUACCAAAAAAGGAAAAUCAUAUCACCAGUAUUUUAAAUACCUACUUUUGCAAUCUGUCCCAAUGGUUAGGUAAUUUUCAUUAGAAAUAGAACCAUAGUUUCUACUUUCAAAGAACUGAAAUAUUGAUGAGUAUUAUUGAAAUAUUUAAAUAAUGAUAAAAAUGAACUGAAGUGGUAGAUUAAUUAUACAAUAUUGAGGAGGAGCAGACUUAGUUUUUUCCAGAGACAUGAUAAUCCAUGAGUUUGAAUUCUGAUUCUGACUUUCAUUAGUUUAAAAAGCUCUCUAAAUCCCAGCUCUUUUUAUCUUCAAAAUGUUCAGAGUUGUUGUGAAGAUAAAGUGUUUAGCAGCAAAUCAUAGCUAUUUUUACAAGCUGAAAAGGCUUCGUGGAGGAGAAUUUGAGCUCAUCUUGAAAGGGCGAUAGAAGUUGGGUAAAUAAAAAGAAGAGAAUGUUCUUACUUGAAC
rnacentral:lncRNA from 1 species